rnacentral:rRNA from 1 species
GGCCAAACAUGCAGUCGAGCGAGCUUGCCUAGAUGAUUUUAGUGCUUGCACUAAAUGAAACUAGAUACAAGCGAGCCGCUGACGGGUGAGUAACACGUGGGUAACCUGCCCAAGAGACUGGGAUAACACCUGGAAACAGAUGCUAAUACCGGAUAACAACACUAGACGCAUGUCUAGAGUUUGAAAGAUGGUUCUGCUAUCACUCUUGGAUGGACCUGCGGUGCAUUAGCUAGUUGGUAAGGUAACGGCUUACCAAGGCAAUGAUGCAUAGCCGAGUUGAGAGACUGAUCGGCCACAUUGGGACUGAGACACGGCCCAAACUCCUACGGGAGGCAGCAGUAGGGAAUCUUCCACAAUGGACGAAAGUCUGAUGGAGCAACGCCGCGUGAGUGAAGAAGGGUUUCGGCUCGUAAAGCUCUGUUGGUAGUGAAGAAAGAUAGAGGUAGUAACUGGCCUUUAUUUGACGGUAAUUACUUAGAAAGUCACGGCUAACUACGUGCCAGCAGCCGCGGUAAUACGUAGGUGGCAAGCGUUGUCCGGAUUUAUUGGGCGUAAAGCGAGUGCAGGCGGUUCAAUAAGUCUGAUGUGAAAGCCUUCGGCUCAACCGGAGAAUAGCAUCAGAAACUGUUGAACUUGAGUGCAGAAGAGGAGAGUGGAACUCCAUGUGUAGCGGUGGAAUGCGUAGAUAUAUGGAAGAACACCAGUGGCGAAGGCGGCUCUCUGGUCUGCAACUGACGCUGAGGCUCGAAA